AAUCAACGCUGGCGGCGUGCCUAACACAUGCAAGUCGAACGAGAAAGUGGAGCAAUCCAUGAGUAAAGUGGCGACCGGGUGAGUAACACGUGACUAACCUACCUUUCAGUGGGGGAUAACCUCGGGAAACCGGGGCUAAUACCGCAUAACAUCGAGAGAUCAAAGGAGCAAUUCGCUGGAAGAGGGGGUCGCGGCUGAUUAGUUAGUUGGCGGGGUAACGGCCCACCAAGACGUUGAUCGGUAGCCGGCCUGAGAGGGCGCACGGCCACA
rnacentral:rRNA from 1 species